AGUGGCAGGGCAAUUGUUUCUCAUCACUCAAUUCUGAUUUUCGAAGCCGUCUCUGCUUCUAGUACUCAUGUUUCUUCUUCACACCUGUCUUCUGGUGUCCUCCAAUCCAUGGCGGAGACGCUCAAUGAAGAUGCCCUUGCUGAUUACCACAAUUUAUCUGCUGCUGCGGUUCGUGGAGAGUACGAAACAUGUGUUCUUUACUGUGAUCAGUUGAAACAGAGAUGUGUUGAUCAGUUUAAAGAAGGGU
rnacentral:lncRNA from 1 species